rnacentral:rRNA from 1 species
UACGUAGGGGGCAAGCGUUGUCCGGAGUUAUUGGGCGUAAAGAGCUCGUAGGUGGUUCGGUAAGUCGGAUGUGAAAUCUCCAGGCUCAACCUGGAGGGGUCAUUCGAUACUGCCGUGACUAGAGUUCGGUAGGGGAGUGUGGAAUUCCUGGUGGAGCGGUGAAAUGCGCAGAUAUCAGGAGGAACACCCGUAGCGAAGGCGGCACUCUGGGCCGAUACUGACACUGAGGAGCGAAAGCGUGGGGAGCGAACAGG